rnacentral:rRNA from 1 species
AUGGGUUUGACCGGUGUGGACAUCACCGACUGGAGUAGCUUUGACAACGUCAACAAUUGGUGGCAUCACUUGGUAGGCGUCAACGGCAAUGUGAGAAAGGGCCUUGCAUCUCUCGUCAUGUUGGUUUCAUGGGAGAUUUGAAAUGAGCAGAAUGCAAGAGUGUUUAGAAAGGUUUCUUCCAUGCCUAAUGUAAUCACGUCUAGAAUCAACACGGAGGUCAGACUUUGGGGGUUGGCAAGAGCCAAACGUUUGAGUUCUCUUAUACCACAAGAGUAG